rnacentral:rRNA from 1 species
AGUGGCGGACGGGUGAGUAACGCGUGGGCAACCUGCCUUACACAGGGGGACAACAGCUGGAAACGGCUGCUAAUACCGCAUAUGCGCACAGGGCCGCAUGGUCUGGUGCGGAAAACUCCGGUGGUGUAAGAUGGGCCCGCGUCUGAUUAGGUAGUUGGCGGGGUAACGGCCCACCAAGCCGACGAUCAGUAGCCGGCCUGAGAGGGUGGACGGCCACAUUGGGACUGAGACACGGCCCAAACUCCUACGGGAGGCAGCAG